GGAAAGAUGGCUGAGUGGUUAAAGGCGCCGGUUUGGAAGACCGGUUCCAUUUUGGAACAUGGGUUCGAAUCCCAUUCUUUCC
rnacentral:tRNA from 1 species